rnacentral:rRNA from 1 species
UACGGGGGGGGCAAGCGUUGUUCGGAAUUACUGGGCGUAAAGGGCUCGUAGGCGGCCAACUAAGUCAGACGUGAAAUCCCUCGGCUUAACCGGGGAACUGCGUCUGAUACUGGAUGGCUUGAGUUUGGGAGAGGGAUGCGGAAUUCCAGGUGUAGCGGUGAAAUGCGUAGAUAUCUGGAGGAAUACCGGUGGCGAAGGCGGCAUCCUGGACCGACAUUGACGCUGAGUGAGCGAAAGCUAGGGGAGCAAACGGG